GCACAAGCAGUGGAGUAUGUGGUUUAAUUCGAAGCAACGCGAAGAACCUUACCAGGUCUUGACAUCGUACGCUAUCUGUAGAAGUACAGAGUUCUCUUCGGAGACGUAUAGACAGGUGGUGCAUGGUUGUCGUCAGCUCGUGUCGUGAGAUGUUGGGUUAAGUCCCGCAACGAGCGCAACCCUUAUGUUUAGUUGCUACGCAAGAGCACUCUAGACAGACUGCCGUUGACAAAA
rnacentral:rRNA from 1 species